GGGGCAUAGCUCAGCUGGGAGAGCACCUGCUUUGCAAGCAGGGGGUCGUCGGUUCGAUCCCGUCUGCCUCACCA
rnacentral:tRNA from 1 species